rnacentral:rRNA from 1 species
AGCGAACGCUGGCGGCAGGCCUAACACAUGCAAGUCGAACGGAUCCUUCGGGAUUAGUGGCGGACGGGUGAGUAACACGUGGGAACGUGCCCUUUGGUUCGGAACAACUCAGGGAAACUUGAGCUAAUACCGGAUGUGCCCUUCGGGGGAAAGAUUUAUCGCCAUUGGAGCGGCCCGCGUCUGAUUAGCUAGUUGGUGAGGUAACGGCCCACCAAGGCGACGAUCAGUAGCUGGUCUGAGAGGAUGAUCAGCCACACUGGGACUGAGACACGGCCCAGACUCCUACGGGAGGCAGCAGUGGGGAAUCUUGCGCAAUGGGCGAAAGCCUGACGCAGCCAGGCCGCGUGAAUGAUGAAGGUCUUAGGAUUGUAAAAUUCUUUCAGCGGGGACGAUAAUGACGGUACCCGCAGAAGAAGCGCCGGCUAACUUCGU